CCUACGGGCGGCAGCAGUGGGGAAUUUUCCGCAAUGGGCGCAAGCCUGACGGAGCGACGCCGCGUGAGUGAAGAAGGCCUUCGGGUUGUAAAGCUCUGUUGUAAGGGACGAAAGAAUAAGGGAGUAACUGCCUUUAAAGUGACGGUACCUUACCAGCAAGCCCCGGCUAACUACGUGCCAGCAGCCGCGGUAAGACGUAGGGGGCGAGCGUUGUCCGGAAUUACUGGGCGUAAAGAGCACGUAGGCGGGUGUUUAAGUCAGGUGUGAAAGACCGCAGCUCAACUGCGGGGUUGCACUUGAAACUGAACAUCUUGAGGGCAGGAGAGGUUAGUGGAAUUCCUGGUGUAGCGGUGAAAUGCGUAGAAAUCAGGAGGAACACCAGUGGCGAAGGCGACUGACUGGACUGACCCUGACGCUGAGGUGCGAAAGCGUGGGUAGCAAACAGGAUUAGAUACCUGGGU
rnacentral:rRNA from 1 species